rnacentral:rRNA from 1 species
AGAGUUUGAUCCUGGCUCAGAACGAACGCUGGCGGCAUGCCUUAUACAUGCAAGUCGAACGAGAAAGUCACUUCGGUGGCGAGUACAGUGGCGCACGGGUGAGUAACGCGUAGAUGAUCUACCCUUCAGUCUGGGACAACUCUUGGAAACGGGAGCUAAUACCGGAUAAAACCUUCGGGUUGAAAGAUUUAUCGCUGGGGGAUGAGUCUGCGUACCAUUAGCUUGUUGGUGGGGUAACGGCCUACCAAGGCGACGAUGGUUAGCGGGUCUGAGAGGACGAUCCGCCACACUGGAACUGAGACACGGUCCAGACUCCUACGGGAGGCAGCAGUAGGGAAUAUUGCGCAAUGGGGGCAACCCUGACGCAGCAAUGCCGCGUGAGUGAAGAAGGCCUUCGGGUCGUAAAGCUCUUUUAUGGGGGAAGAUGAUGACGGUACCCCAUGAAUAAGCACCGGCUAACUACGUGCCAGCCGCCGCGGUAAUAC